GUCACGCUGUAAACGAUGUCGAUUUGGAGUUUGGGGGCAUGACCCUUGGGCUCCGGAGCUAACGCGUUAAAUCGACCGCUGGGGAGUACGGCCGCAAGGUUAAAACUCAAAUGAAUUGACGGGGGCCCGCACAAGCGGUGGAGCAUGUGGUUUAAUUCGAUGCAGCGCGAAGAACCUUACCUGGUCUUGACAUCCAUAGAAUCUUUCAGAGAUGAGAGAGUGCCUUCGGGAGCUAUGAGACAGGUGCUGCAUGGCUGUCGUCAGCUCGUGUUGUGAAAUGUUGGGUUAAGUCCCGCAACGAGCGCAACCCCUAUCCUUUGUUGCCAGCACGUAAUGGUGGGAACUCAAAGGAGACUGCCGUUGAUAAAGCGGAGGAAGGUGGGGACGACGUCAAGUCAUCAUGGCCCUUACGACCAGGGCUACACACGUGCUACAAUGGCGUAUACAAAGGGAUGCGAAGGUGCGAACUGGAGCGGACCUCACAAAGUACGUCUAAGUCCGGAUUGGAGUCUGCAACUCGACUCCAUGAAGUCGGAAUCGCUAGUAAUCGUGAAUCAGAAUGUCACGGUGAAUACGUUCCCGGGCCUUGUACACACCGCCCGUCACACCAUGGGAGUGGGUUGCACCAGAAGUAGAUAGCUUAACCUUCGGGAGGGCGUUUACCACGGUGUGGUUCAUGACUGGGGUGAAGUCGUAACAAGGUAACCA
rnacentral:rRNA from 1 species